GCGGAUUUAGUUCAGCGGUAGAACACCACCUUGCCAAGGUGGGGGUCGCGAGUUCGAAUCUCGUAAUCCGCU
rnacentral:tRNA from 1 species